CCCUAACACAUCAUUUUUAAGCAACUCUGCCAAGAGAAAGACUGAGUGCUCUUAAAAAUGACACCUGUGCUUUACUGAGGUAAGACCUAAAGGACACCAGCCGGAAGCAAAACAAAUGCCAAACCAGACUCGAAGGAGAAGAGGCCUUUACCCCCACCGCCGACACCCCGAGGGCCCUGCCUUGGCUGCGCCUCUUCUUUUCCACCAGCACCUAAUGAACACAGUGGUGGCCAGUUAACUAGGACGCUCCCCGCAGGCUCCGCUCCAUGGGACGGCUUCAUAGGAAGAGGCAUGGGAAACGCCAGGUGCUCCGAGGGACUGGCAUGAGGGCGAGUUUGUGUGCCCAGGAUCUGCCCAAAGGAAGCCCUGCCCACCCAGACAGUCCCAAGUACAGAAGUCCCAGGGAACCAGUGAAUCCUGCAGCUGGGCCCGGCACCAGCCUCUCCUGAUUGCCAGGACUCUCGGGAGAAGCCACCAAUACAUCUCAGUCCUUUCAGAAACCCAGCACAUAACCAGAUCGCUCCAGAGCAGCCAGCAAACGGAGAGAGUACGGAAGGGCAAGCUGAAACGCUGAGCGCUGGGAUUCACAAAUGUCCAAGCAGAGAGACUAAGCACUCCUGUGAUGGUUCCUCCUACAGAAACAAGCCAGGAGGCCAACUGCAUGUGGAGACACCGAUGUCAGGCUUCUCGAGAAAAUCUGCCAGGCCAGUGAAUUCAGAGACAAAUCCACUCACAAGCACAUGUGUGUACGCGUGCAUGCGCGCGUACACACACACACUCAGAACCAGUGUAUGUGCAGGUCCAAGGAUCAAGAUCUCAGGCCCUCUUCCCCAGAGAUGGAGACUCAUGAGGGUGAAGAUUCUCAAAGGCAUGCCAGGAAACUCGGUCCCCGUCCUCAGGUGAUGCCAACAAGUGCCUUUUCCCCCCUGUUCUCGGCUCCCCGAUCUGCAAAUGGAGCUGUUGGGAAACGUCGCUACUCCGAUCCACUCACCUCUGACCUGCUACCUUUGCAGGAAAUCACAAACACCCACGGGCUGUCUGUUUUUACUACCAGCAGCUGGGGGUUCCCCUUGCAAGUACCCAACUCUGCAGGGACAGAACGGGCAGGAGAAUGGAGAAGCCCCUGCCCACCACCCUCAGCGGGGCAGCCAGGAGCCCAGCAGCCUGCCAGGAGAUUCCAAGUAUCCUCCAGGCAGGGUGCCCCAGGAACGGAGCCCACCACUGGCCUCAGUCAGUCAUGGGGACCUGGGUCCCCUUGUCACGACAGCCCAAAGGGAAGGCCUGCUACAUGCCACUCCUCUGCCUGCAGCUGGUCAUGACAGCAGUCUCAUUCACAGAUCCCUUGUGCUCUGAGCCUCGUGCCUCUGUCCUCCACGGUACAGGCUUUCUUAUACACUCAGGGACUCCUCUUAGCAUCCCCCAUGGCCACAGGGCCUGGAGCUUUGUGCUCUGCCCUUUCAAAAGGGGUGGGAGGAGGCCGGACAACCGAGCUGUGGCAGAGUCCCAGCUGCCUCCCCAGGGAUAGGGUCUGAUGCCAGGAUUUGUGUCUCCAUCUCAAUGUCAUGGCGAGCAGGAGCAGCACCAUGGGAAACCUGCCUGUCAAGCUCAGAAAGAUCCAACAUCCCCUGAAGGCAGACACGUGUGCUAGGGUGACACGCCCAGCUGGUACAGAGUAACAGGUUCAUGCUGCUAUGAAGAAGCUGGACUCUUCCUGGAGAGGGUGGGUCAAGGUCAGACCAAGGUUCUCACGUCUACAGUAAGAAUCACCCACACAGGAACUGUCUCUGAGUGGCUGUGGCCUGGGUUGCUAACACCCACACAGGGUACCUGGCUCCACCUGUCACCAGCAGGAUCAGGCUCCUUCCUGGGGAUCCGUAGACAGUCAAUACGAGACCAUCCCCACUCACAAUAAAGCAUGU